UAUGUGAUCGUCUCUCGCAUAUCAAUAAGCGGAGGAAAAGAAACUAACAAGGAUUCCCCUAGUAACGGCGAGUGAAGCGGGAAGAGCUCAAAUUUGAAAUCUUAAAGGGUUUCCCUUUACGAAUUGUAGUUUAAAGAAGUGUUUUCUGUUGAGGUUUUGGUAAAAGUUCUUUGGAAUAGGACAUCAUAGAGGGUGAGAAUCCCGUAUUUGACCUUUACUUUCAACUUUGUGAUACACUUUCAAAGAGUCGGAUUGUUUGGGAAUGCAGUCCAAAAUGGGUGGUAAAUUUCAUCUAAAGCUAAAUAUUGGCGAGAGACUGAUAGCGAACAAGUACCGUGAGGGAAAGAUGAAAAGAACUUUGAAAAGAGAGUUAAACAGUACGUGAAAUUGUCAAAAGGGAAGCGUUUGACACCAGUGUUGUUUUUCUGAAAAUCAAUUAAAGAACUGUUUAUGCUAAGUUGUUUAGACUUUAUCAGCUAUCUGUUUAGUUUUGAGCUUUUCUUUAAUGCACUUUUCAGUUAACAAGUCAACAUCAAUUUCUUUUGCUGUAAAAAAGCUUGAGGAAGGUGGCUUGAGAUUCGUCUUAAGUGUUUAUAGCCUCUUGCCUAUGCAGUCGGAGAGAUUGAGGUCUGCAGCGUAGAUCCUUCGGGGCUAAAUGCAUUUGUGCUAAGUUAUAGCAUUUUAUAGACAACUUGUUGACUAUGAUUUGUCUUGUAGCUUACUCGCUUAUGUUAUUUUACCUACGCUUAGGAUGUUGAUCUACAGAGCGAGAGU
rnacentral:rRNA from 1 species